rnacentral:rRNA from 1 species
UUCUGGCUCAGGAUGAACGCUAGCUACAGGCUUAACACAUGCAAGUCGAGGGGCAUCAGGGUCUGUGCUUGCACAGAUUGCUGGCGACCGGCGCACGGGUGAGUAACGCGUAUCCAACCUUCCCCUUAGUAGAGGAUAGCCCGGCGAAAGUCGGAUUAAUACUCUAUGUUGUUCAAUGCGGACAUCUAAGUUGAACCAAAGGUUUACCGCUAAGGGAUGGGGAUGCGUCUGAUUAGGUAGUAGGCGGGGUAACGGCCCACCUAGCCAACGAUCAGUAGGGGUUCUGAGAGGAAGGUCCCCCACAUUGGAACUGAGACACGGUCCAAACUCCUACGGGAGGCAGCAGUGAGGAAUAUUGGUCAAUGGGCGCGAGCCUGAACCAGCCAAGUAGCGUGCAGGAUGACGGCCCUAUGGGUUGUAAACUGCUUUUAUGCGGGGAUAAAGUGCACCACGUGUGGUGUUUUGUAGGUACCGCAUGAAUAAGGACCGGCUAAUUCCGUGCCAGCAGCGGC